ensembl:snoRNA
GUUUGAAUGAUGACCUUAAAGUUGUCAGAAACUUCUCAGCUGUAUGAGGAAACCCCCACUUCCUGCAUAUGCAAAC